rnacentral:misc_RNA from 1 species
GAGGCAUUUUCCUUGUAAUAUAGCAAACUUGGCAAGCACUGAAUAAAACACAUGCGAAUCUUAGGCAGGGAUGAUGUGUCCAAUGGAGGUACGUACUAAUAACCAGUCCUUGUCGUUGUAUAGGACCUGAGCUGCUGAAUGAAAGCGUCGAUGCACCUCUCGUGACACUCCGUGUCGGCCACCACCUCCCCCAUCUUCCCGGCGUUGGCGGCGAGCGCCUUCUUGCUCUCUUCAUCCACCACGGCGGCCCGGACGGCUGCGGCGACGCCGUCCCGGUCGAAGGCGCCGCCGUGCU